GUCGCGAUGUCCGAGUGGUUAAGGAGAUUGACUAGAAAUCAAUUGGGCUCUGCCCGCACAGGUUCGAGUCCUGUUCGCGACG